UGCGAACCUGCUGGGCUAACUGGUCGAACUGAGCGGCUUCGACCAUCUGAAUGGGGGGUGGAACGGUGGAGUGUUGCUGAGAAUGUGUUGGAGACGCAGCGGCCCCCCGGCCGGAGGCGUGAGAGGUCCCGCGACCGGAGGCAUUGGAAGCUCCACGACCACCUCGCCGUGCCAUUACGAUCGCUCUGAGAUUCGUCCCUUCCUCUAGCGCCAACUGUUGCUGGUGGUCCAAACCGAGAACGAUUGGCACAGCGGUGUGAACGGGGUUCCGUUUGGGUUGCCUUGGUUGGUGUUGAUUGCGCUCCACCUUCCACCGGAAAACCUGCAAGCAAGCCUCGCACCACCACUGGGGUAGUGGGGGCCCUCCGACGAUCAAGUCAGAGGAGAUUGGAGGAGAAGGAGAGAUAAUAGUAGCAAGUAAGAGAAUGCACUGGAAGUUCUUGCUCACCCCCCCCUUCUCCCCCCAGCCGCAUAUAUACCAGGCUGGGGGGUCCUUCUGGGGGGUUGGUCAUCGUGUGGCACGAUGGAGUUGCCACUGACAUGGCCGUUACAGGGCGUCGUGGGGCAGCGCAG
rnacentral:lncRNA from 1 species